CUUAUUCAAAUCAGGGGUUUUUAACAUUCACAAGUAAUAAUUUAAUAAUCUAAUUCUCUGUGAGAUCGACCCUAGCUUACCCUACUACAUUUUAGGAGAUUUUAGUUAGGUUUAUUUUUGGUAGACACGCGACAGUCGUACCAAAUCAUCAAAAGUAAACAGCAAGCCAACAAAGAGAAAUGUCAAGCGGAGGGACAUGAAUAUAUCACAAAGUCAGAAUAACAGUCUCAUACAUAGAAGAGAUGAUGCCAAGUACAAAUCAAAAAAUCCAAAUACAUCAGAAGAAAGUUAAAUGUCUAAACAUCAAGGCUAGAAGAUCUAUUCAAUGCAAGUCAAGCGCACCUCGAGGACCAAUUCCUCACAUCCAAAGGUCUCGGCCUCCCUUAGCCUGGCAUGUCUCACACCCCUAGGCUCUUGGCACGUCUCAUACCCAAAGAUCUCAGCUCGUUAUAAAAAGGCUCUUGGCAUUUUAGAUAUAUUUGUCAUAUCCAAACGGAGAGUUGACAAGCCAAGCUCUCAGCAUAUAUGGACAAGGCGAGCCCUCGGCAUCUCUCAGCCUAGCGUAGGCCCUCAACUUCCUCCGCUCGGUCUUUUCAAUCACUCUUGUUUCGGGGUUUUCUGUGUCCCUCGGGAGAGUUAAAACUCCAAGACUGGAUUCCGGGCGCCUGUACCUGCAAAACAACGGAGACUCUAGUUGGAUAAGUUCCGCCUCCGACGAUCAAGUUAGAAAGUGUUAGGAAGAAUAAAAGUGCGAAAAGUAAAGUGGGAUCAGGUUCCUCUAUGGAGACAAAUGAUCAUCCGGCUAUCGCAGACAGCCUCAAUAUCCGAGUGUUCACUCUCUUGUGUAAUCAAUUUUACAAUUAAUGCUCUUUUUGAAUAAUCAAUUCUGUGUUCCCUGGAUGGGAACAUAUCCCUUUUAUAGGGUCUUAAAAUGCGUGCCCAUCCUAGGUUUCUAAACCUAUGACUAACGGGCUGCCUCGGGAUUUGGGCCUUGAAUGCCGCCAAUCCUAUGUUGGAUAUUUGUUUGCCAAGUGUCGAGCCCUGGUAGGUUCACUUAGGGCUCUCCUUUGGGUGACACGUGGCGGACUCUGAUAGGUCCACGUGGCACCCGUGACAUGUGUCACACGCGGAUAGGAAAAUAGUUUUGUUUUUUUUGUUUUUUUUGUUUUUUUUUUUUUUUACCGUUUAGUUUUUGGAACAUUCUUCAGGGGUGCCCCCUGAAAUUCUUGUCCCUUUAUAUAAGGGUCCUACCCCCCAUCAUUUUCACACAUUCUCAAGAUUCUCUCGGACAUGGAACCUUAGACUUUAGGAAAGAACUUGUCUUAAUUCUGAGAAAAGCAACUGCCGCCUGUAACUAAUGCUUGUUUCUACAGCUGCCCAAGACUUUUUUCAAGCGUCUACAGUAUCUUCAAACCAAAGGUAACCGCCUGCUUUUCUCUCUUGCUUUAACUUUGUUUCUUUUCCUUUUUGAAAAUGGUUUCCCAAAAGCACACGACAUAGCCUAGGUUAGUGAUCAGCCGGUCACCGGGGACGACUGAAUCUAGAACUAGGAGCACCGACUGCCCCUUGCUGGACCACCCUUUGCGAACUUCCCCAAGUCCGACGCUCUUUGUGUCUGUGUAGGACACCAUGGCCAAAUUAAACAAACAUCCAGGUAGCAGAAUCCGAACGGCUCUUUUAGGGCGCCUAUUAGUGAACUCUUUGAUUUGUCGCCUGACACCCCGAGUACCCCCAGUGAUUCUAUUUUGCAAGAAUCAGGGGAGGAGUUUGAGAGUGAUGCCUCUGACUCUAUUCGACAGGCCCCUCAGGGGGACGCGGCUCAGACAGUGAGUCCGAACCUAGUACUUCUAGCAGAGUCUCCGAUGACUCUGAGGAAAUGCGCUCUCGGUUGGAAACAGCGAGAGGGUCCCAUUCUGUAGAAAAGGCCGAAGGCUGGGCCGAGCCGUCUGCUACCCGCCGAGAGCAGUUUGCUGCUUAUUAUCAACACGUUCUCGCGGGCAGGCGGAAAACAAUGGCUGACAAGGUGGGAAGUUUUCGAGUUGAUCAUGUCAUGGGACAUGGCUUCAUUUUGUGCCGGAUGCUGAGGAUACCGUAGUCUGGCCAGAAGGAUCAAGAUACGGGGACGAGUGCUCUGGCUACUAUGAAGGGGCCAUCCAAGCUGGCCUUAGAUUCCCCCUCCAUCUGACCGUGGAGAGAAUUCUUGAUGGAUACCAGUUGGGUAUUUGGCAACUGGCCCAAACUCUUGGGUAAACAUUCUAGGCUUUGUUGCCGCCUGCGAAAUGUUAGAGGUAGAUCCAAGUUUUGAGGCUUUCGCCCACAUGCACUACCUCAACCGAACCCCAAAAGCAAGCGGGUCUGGUUGGUACACUUUAUCUAGCCACAAGGGCUAUAUGAUGACCAUUGGGAAGGAUAACAAAUGGAAGGACUGGAGAAGCAAGUUCUACAUUGUUUCUUCACCUGACAAGAUAAAGAACAGAAAAUACAAACGGUGGAACCGGAACCCCCCUCUGCUCUCAGGCGGAACAUAAUUGUCGUCUGUUCCCAGAAAGGCCAAAGAGCAUAUCUUGGAGAAGGGUCUUUUCAAAGUGACCAUUCGGUCAAAUGAGGAGACCGGGGUGAAAGAAAUCAUACCCCAAAGUUAUAUUCCCAACUAUGAUUGGUUAUCUGAUGGGGAUUAUCUUACCGCCUGCGGUCUGAGUGUAGAGAGGCCGAGAGGUAGACGACCGAAUGUGUUUAGAUUUUUAGUAAAACUUGAUCAUUUUGUCUAGCUUACUUAACUAUUUAAAAUUUCUUAUGCAGACAAAGCGAUGGCGAAGCUCUCGUCUACAAAGAAGCCGACUGCCUACUACCGCUUGCUUUUGGGCAAGCGAAAGGGCGAGGAGCCGGAUGCCACAUAGACGCCCAAGGGUGGUUCCUCCAAACCCUCUCCUUCAUCUUUGUCGGACCCGAAGCUUCAAAAGCAGACGGUCGGUGAUGUGGGGACUCCUGGCAGGUCCUGGAAACACGUGGCCCACAAGCUAGGAAGGACCCAUCCUCCAACUGGGGGAAAGUCCCCAGCUUUCCCUGAGAGUAGUCGGCUCCCAAGGGAGAAGGCGGCUGCCGGAGAUGUCCCUCAAAGGCCGGAUCUUCAAUAGCUGGCAAAGACCAUGCUAAGGCCAUCUCCCUUGAGGAUAGGGAGUCUGUUAGAGGAGUCGGCACCCUUGAUCUUGAUGUCAUUCUUGCUCUCCUUGCUGAGUCUAUGCUGCGAGUGCACGGUCUUAGAAAAUUGCUCAACGAGAAGAAAAAAGAGGCGGCUGCCAAUCUGCAGGUCAAGGCCGAUCUAGACGCGGCAAAGAGGCGGAUCUUUGAGCUCGAGAAGGAGGUUCCAAGAGGCGGACACUGAAGCAGCCGGACUCUGCACCCGGGUGGACAAACUCAAAGCCAGGCUGCAAAACCAGGAAGUCCAACUCGCCAAGAAGUAUACUUCAAGGGCUGAGGAGGAGAAGGAGGCCCUGGUUAAACAGAUGAUGGACGACUGUGAAGCCAUCAUGCAGCUGACUUGGGGGGCUCUUUUCCCGGAUGCUAGCUAUGAAGGCUAGAGGACCAGUUUGCCGCCGCUUCCCAAGAAUACAAUGAUAAACUCUUGAACCAAGCUCAAGAGGAAGCGGAGGAAGAGGAGUCGUCUGAUUCUGCAUCCGAGGUUCCGAUCAAGAGGAGGAGUAGGAUGGCGAAAAAGACCGAGAGCCGACUGGGGAGGAAAAGGAUGCGGCUGCCAAUACUGAGAAGCCCCCUCCUGAAGCUUAAGCCUUGUGUUGAUUCUCUGAGGCCUGUUGGCCAUGUAUUACUUUCUCCGGCGUGCGUGCCGUGUGUUUCCUUAUAUCUUUACCGACUAAGGAGUCGGGUUUUUUUGACAAUUUUUGCCGGUUGUAUCGGUUAACUCUUUUUAGUCGCCCCUGAGGUCGACUAAGUUUAUUUAUGAAUCAUCCGGCCAUUUGGCCGGUUUUUCCA